rnacentral:rRNA from 1 species
CCCUUAGAUGUCCUGGGCCGCACGCGCGCUACACUGGCACACGCAACGAGUCUAUCACCUUGGUCGGCAGGCCUGGGUAAUCUGUGAACGUGUGCCGUGAUUGGGAUUGAUUGUUGCAAUUUUCAAUCAUGAACGAGGAAUUCCUAGUAAACGCAGAUCAUCAAUCUGCAUUGAUUACGUCCCUGCCCUUUGUACACACCGCCCGUCGCACCUACCGAUUGGAUGGUCCGGUGAAGCCUCGGGAUUGUGGUUCUUGCCGCUUUAUUGUGGCGUGACCGCGAGAACUUGUCUAAACCUUAUCAUCUAGAGGAAGGUGAAGUCGUAACA